rnacentral:rRNA from 1 species
GACGAACGCUGGCGGCGUGCUUAACACAUGCAAGUCGAACGGAAAGGCCCUGCUUUUGUGGGGUGCUCGAGUGGCGAACGGGUGAGUAACACGUGAGUAACCUGCCCUUGACUUUGGGAUAACUUCAGGAAACUGGGGCUCUUACCCGAUAGGAGAUCCUGCUGCAUGGUGGGGGUUGGUAAGUUUCGGCGGUUGGGGAUGGACUCGCGGCUUAUCCGCUUGUUUGGGGGGUAGUGGCUUACCAAGGCUUUGACGGGUAGCCGGCCUGAGAGGGGUACCAGCCACAAUGGGACUGAGAUACGGCCCAGACUCCUACGGGAGGCAGCAGUGGGGAAUAUUACACAGUGGGCGGAAGCCAGAUGCAGCGACGCCGCGUGCGGGAUGACGGCCUUCGGGUUGUGAACCGAUUUCGCCGGUAACGAAGCGUGAGUGACGGUAAUGGGUAAAGAAGCACCGGCUAACUACGUG